ensembl:lncRNA
AAACUCUAAAUCUCAUUUCCCUGACCGUGAAUUGAACCCGGGCCGCGGCGGUGAAAGAGCCAAAUCCGAGCCACUAGACCGUCAGGGACACAAUUAUGCAAAUGAAGUCAUAGUUUAAGUCGAAUGCUUUAAAAACAUCUGUAGUUUGGCUUGAAUUAAAAGUUGGAUCUGCAAUUCCAAACUCUAAAUCUCAUUUCCCUGACCGGGAAUUGAACCCGGGCCGCGGCGGUGAGAGCGCCGAAUCCUAGCCACUAGACCAUCAGGGACAUGAUUAUGCAAAUGAAGUCAUAGUUUAAGUCAAAAACUUAAAAAACAUCUGCAGUUUGGCUUGAAUUAAAAGUUGGAUCUGGAAUUCCAAACUCUAAAUCUCAUUUCCCUGACCGGGAAUUGAACCCGGGCCGCGGCGGUGAGAGCGCCGAAUCCUAGCCACUAGACCAUCAGGGACAUGAUUAUGCAAAUGAAGUCAUAGUUUAAGUCAAAAACUUAAAAAACAUCUGCAGUUUGGCUUGAAUUAAAAGUUGGAUCUGGAAUUCCAAACUCUAAAUCUCAUUUCCCUGACCGGGAAUUGAACCCGGGCCGCGGCGGUGAGAGCGCCAAAUCCUAGCCACUAGACCAUCAGGAACACAAUUAUGCAAAUGAAGUCAUAGUUUAAGUCGAAUACAUUAAAAACAUCUGCAGUUUGGCUUGAAUUAAAAGUUAAAGCUUGAAUUCCCUGACCAGGAAUUUAACACUUUAUAUCUGACUUCCCUGACCGGAAAUUGAACCCGGGCCACAUUUGUGAAAGCGCCAAAUCCUAGCCACUAGACCAUCAGGGACACAAUUAUGCAAAUGGAGUCAUAGUUUAAGUCGAAUGCUUUAAAAACAUCUGUAGUUUGGCUUGAAUUAAAAUUUAGAGCUUCAAUUCCCUGACUAGGAAUUUAACACUUUAUAUCUGAUUUCCCUGACCGGAAAUUGAACCCGGGCCACAGCUGUGAAAGCGCCAAAUCCUAGCCACUAGACCCUCAGGGACACAAUUAUGCAAAUGGAGUCAUAGUUUAAUCGAAUGCUUUAAAAACAUCUGUAGUUUGGCUUGAAUUAAAAUUUAGAGCUUCAAUUCCCUGACUAGGAAUUUAACACUUUAUAUCUGAUUUCCCUGACCGGAAAUUGAACCCGGGCCACAGCGGUGAAAGCGCCAAAUCCUAGCCACUAGACCCUCAGGGACACAAUUAUGCAAAUGAAGUCAUAGUUUAAGUCGAAUACAUUAAAAAAAUCUGCAGUUUGGCUUGAAUUAAAAGUUAAAGCUGGAAUUCCCUGACCAGGAAUUUAACACUUUAUAUCUGACUUCCCUGACCGGAAAUUGAACCCUGGCCACAGCGGUGAAAGCGCCAAAUCCUAGCCACUAGACCCUCAGGGACACAAUUAUGCAAAUGAAGUCAUAGUUUAAGUCGAAUGCUUUAAAAACAUCUGCAGUUUGGCUUGAAUUAAAAGUUAAAGCUUGAAUUCCCUGACCAGGAAUUUAACACUUUAUAUC